rnacentral:rRNA from 1 species
GGUGAGUAACACGUGGGUGAUCUGCCUUGCACUUCGGGAUAAGCCUGGGAAACUGGGUCUAAUACCGGAUAUGACCCUGGAGGUUCUGGGGUGGAAAGAUUUAUCGGUGCGAGAUGGGCCCGCGGCCUAUCAGCUUGUUGGUGAGGUAACGGCUCACCAAGGCGACGACGGGUAGCCGACCUGAGAGGGUGACCGGCCACACUGGGACUGAGACACGGCCCAGACUCCUACGGGAGGCAGCAGUGGGGAAUAUUGCACAAUGGGCGCAAGCCUGAUGCAGCGACGCCGCGUGCGGGAUGACGGCCUUCGGGUUGUAAACCGCUUUUGACAGGGACGAAGCGCAAGUGACUGUACCUGUAGAAUAAGGACCGGCCAACUACGUGCCAGCAGCCGCGGUAAUACGUAGGGUCCGAGCGUUGUCCGGAAUUACUGGGCGUAAAGAGCUUGUAGGCGGUUCGUCGCGUCGUUUGUGAAAACUUGGGGCUCAACCUUAAGCUUGCAGGCGAUACGGGCGGACUAGAGUACUUCAGGGGAGACUGGAAUUCCGAGUGUAGAGGUGAAAUUCGUAGAUAUUGGGAGGAACACCGGUGGCGAAAGCGGUUCUCUGGAUCGAUACUGACACUAAGACGCGAAAGCGUGGGGAUCAAACAGGAUUAGAUACCCUGGUAGUCCACGCCGUAAACGAUGGAUAUUAGUUGUUGCGAGUUUAACCCUCGCAGUGACGAAGCUACGCAUUAAAUAUCCCGCCUGGGAAGUACGGCCGCAAGGUUAAAACUCAAAGGAAUUGACGGGGGCCCGCACAAGCGGUGGAGCAUGUGGUUCAAUUCGACGGCAACCUUACCUAGGCUUGACAUCUGGAGAAUCCCUCCAAAAGAGGGAGUGCUCGCAAGAGAGCUCCAGACAGGGCUGCAUGGUGUCGUCAGCUCGUGUCGUGGAUGUUGGGUUAAGUCCCAACGAGCACCCUAUCUUUAGUUGCAUCAUUAAUUGGGACUCUAAAGACUG